rnacentral:misc_RNA from 1 species
AUUUUUGCACUUCUUUGGAGCACAAGGAAUCCUUGAUUGCUACUUGGAAUCUUUGAUUGCCAAAUGCUACAAAGUAUCUUAAGGCUUAUCGACCCAUUCAUUUUCUGUAGCAAGUCUUCCUGAGCCACGGCCGCCCAUUUUUCCAAAUGGACUCAUCGCCGAUAAGCCCUUGAAGCUGCUGCUUCCCUCGUUACUGAAGUUUCGUGACCUCCUUGCUUUCCUCAUCUUUGGUGAACCAAUGUCUCCAAUUUCCUGAUCAGCAUCCUCACAAUCUUUGACUUUGGCAACCACUAGGCGGACAAUGGAGCUUCGACAGAACGGGCAAACAGGAGGGUUUAUGCAUGCAGUUGCUGGGUUUGGUUUGUUGUGGCAGCAUAGGGCUAGUGUGCACUGCGC